UUGGAGGGCAAGUCUGGUGCCAGCAGCCGCGGUAAUUCCAGCUCCAAUAGCGUAUAUUAAAGUUGCUGCAGUUAAAAAGCUCGUAGUUGAAUUUCGGGACCAUCAUGUCGGUCGUGCCUCGGUACGUACUGGUAUUGUUGGUUUCUCCCUUCUGACGAACCAUGAUGUCAUUUAUUUGGUGUCGUGGGAAAUCAGGACUGUUACUUUGAAAAAAUUAGAGUGUUUAAAGCAGGCUCACGCUUGAAUACAUUAGCAUGGAAUAAUGAAAUAGGACGUUUGAUUCUAUUUUGUUGGUUUCUAGGAUCGACGUAAUGAUUAAUAGGGAUAGUUGGGGGCAUUAGUAUUCAAUUGUCAGAGGUGAAAUUCUUGGAUUUAUUGAAGACUAACUACUGCGAAAGCAUUUGCCAAGGAUGUUUUCAUUAAUCAAGAACGAAAGUUAGGGGAUCGAAGACGAUCAGAUACCGUCGUAGUCUUAACCAUAAACUAUGCCGACUAGGGAUCGGAUGAUGUUAAUUUUUUAAUGACUCAUUCGGCGCCUUACGGGAAAC
rnacentral:rRNA from 1 species